AAUGACUGGCAGCAGGGGCUACACUCAGCAGUGGCCUUUGUAGUGUCAUCACACCGAAAUGUCACAAACUUGACUUGAUAGUAUGACGUACCUCACCAGUGAUGUGGAAGACCUGAGGGAAGACUUACAAUAUAGGAAUGGAAGACAAUGGACUGAUGACAAUGUGUCGAUCAAUAUCUCCUCAUAUGGAAGAAAAAUAAAUCUAAGGUCAUUCUUGAAGAAAAAUAAAUCCAUGGUCAUUCUUAGGUCAAGAUCAUAAGGUCGGCACUUUAUCUCAAGAAUUUCUCCAGUGACUUUUACAAUGAUUUUCCCAAGAGCGUUAAGAAAAUGUUGGUCAUCGGAACAUCAUGGGGUCAUCAAAGUCAUAUGAUGGUCAUCGCUUCAGUGAAAAGAAUUAUUGAAUGAUGCAAAUCAAAGGUACGAGUAAUUACCUAAAAGUUAUGUUUGAUGA